rnacentral:misc_RNA from 1 species
UUGUGGAGGAGGACGCCGAAGGUGGGGCUAAUGACUGGGGUGAAGUCGUAACAAGGUAGCCGUACCGGAAGGUGCGGCUGGAUCACCUCCUAACAGGGAGACAACAAAAUGUUUAAUAUUAUUAUUUUGUCACCUUAGGUCGAUCGGUAUCUCACAUUCUUAAUUUAUUAAGGAUUUCAUUUCCUAAGUUUUUCUAGGUCACACCCAUUAUUUUUCCUGGGCCAUUAGCUCAGGUGGUUAGAGCGCACCCCUGAUAAGGGUGAGGUCCCUGGUUCAAGUCCAGGAUGGCCCAUAUCUCUAUGUUGGGGGUAUAGCUCAGUUGGUAGAGCGCCUGCUUUGCAAGCAGGAUGUCAGCGGUUCGAGUCCGCUUACCUCCACUGAUUACCACCUCUUCCAUAUUCUUUAGAAGGGAAAUGUUUUGAGUUGUGAUCAAUUUCUGAACGAAUCUAGCUUCCUAAUUAUCUUAUUAAGAUGCUGGACUCAUUGAAUUAAUUUCAUUGUUUUCAGAGAACCUUGACAACUGCAUAGAUUUUUUUUUAAAGACAAUAAGCAUCUUUAAUGAUGCAGAUUUACUAUUUGUGCGAAUGCAUUAAAUAACAAUUCUAUUAAGCUGAUGCUUCAAUUAUGAAGUUAUUGGUCAAGCUACAA